rnacentral:rRNA from 1 species
UACGAGGGGGCGAGCGUUGUUCGGAAUUAUUGGGCGUAAAGGGUUCGUAGGCGGUUUGAUAAGUCUGAUGUGAAAUCUAUGGGCUCAACCCAUAGCCUGCAUUAGAAACUGUCGGGCUUGAGUAUGGGAGAGGUGAGUGGAAUUUCCGGUGUAGCGGUGAAAUGCGUAGAUAUCGGAAGGAACACCUGUGGCGAAAGCGGCUCACUGGACCAUUACUGACGCUGAUGCACGAAAGCUAGGGGAGCAAACAGG